rnacentral:lncRNA from 1 species
UUUCAACACUCAAUAAGGAGAAAACCCUUCCCUCCAAGCCCCACUAUCGCCUUAGUCGGAGGUACACUGACAACAUUUCCACCGUCGGUCGUCAACAUUUCCGAAGUUUGUACCCAGUUUUCCCAAAUCACACACUUUCUGUUGGAGUAUUGCAUUACACAUUGACAACAUGGAAUUAAAAAGAAGAGAACAAAAGUCAAAGAUAGAAGAAUAGCCAGCUGGGAAGACAAUUUAGUUACUUUCUGUUAUACUAGUUGGAAGAGUAGUUCGUUUUUGUUGUUCUAGCUGGAAGAGGAGUUAGUUACUUUCAGUUCUUUUUGUUAGUUCAGUUCAAUGUAUUCUGGUGUCAAGUUGUAGUAUAAAUAUAGCCCAAGUCCGCUGUAAACAAUAAUUUUCAGAAUUUCAUUUCAGUUCAUUGAUGAAAUUGAAUUUUCUUCUUCACGUUUUUUUCCCAUUGUAUUCCACCUUGAUCUUGAGCUUGAAUCCAUCUGAUUCUCAAGAUGGUAUUAGAGCUUUAAUUCAUCAAAUCAACGAUUCCGCAACAUUAUCUUCUUGAAUUGGUGUUCUGCUCUGAAAUUUCCUGUACCGAUUUCUUAGAAUGAAUUCUGAUCACUCAUCUGUCAACCCUUCUAUCAAUUCUAAUGGUUCUUCUAUCAAUCCCUCAAAUGAUUCCUCAAGUCCAUAUUAUCUUCACCCAAGUGAUAAUCCUAGUACGUUAUUAGUAUCAGAAAUCUUUAAUGGAGAAAAUUACGUUGCCUGGAGUCGAUCAAUCAUAAUGGCUUUGAUAGUUAAGAACAAGGUAAAAUUCAUUAAUGGCUCUAUCACCCCUCCUGCUGCUGAUCAAACCAUUUAUCAUACGGCAUGGUUGCAUGCGAACAACCUAGUUCUUUCUUGGUUGAUGAAUUCAAUCUCUAAAGAUAUAUGAAACAACUUGCUAUUUGUGUCAUCUGUUGUUGAUCUCUGGAAUGAACUCAAGACAAGAUAUCUUAAGAGUGAUGGACCAAGAGUCUUUCAUCUUGAAAAGUCUUUGAGCUGUAUAAGUCAACGUUCUUUGUCUAUUACUGAAUAUUUCAGCAAUUUUAAAACCCUUUGGGAUGAAUACAUGAGCUAUAGGCCAUUUCCAACAUGUACAUGUGGAAAGAUGGCAUCAUGUACCUGUGAAUUGCUUAAAUACCUACAAGCUCGACAACAAUCUGAUU